GACGAACGCUGGCGGCGUGCUUAACACAUGCAAGUCGAACGGAAAGGCCCUGCUUUUGUGGGGUGCUCGAGUGGCGAACGGGUGAGUAACACGUGAGUAACCUGCCCUUGACUUUGGGAUAACUUCAGGAAACUGGGGCUAAUAUCGGAUAGGAGCUCCUGCUGCAUGGUGGGGGUUGGAAAGUUUCGGCGGUUGGGGAUGGACUCGCGGCUUAUCAGCUUGUUGGUGGGGUAGUGGCUUACCAAGGCUUUGACGGGUAGCCGGCCUGAGAGGGUGACCGGCCACAUUGGGACUGAGAUACGGCCCAGACUCCUACGGGAGGCAGCAGUGGGGAAUAUUGCACAAUGGGCGGAAGCCUGAUGCAGCAACGCCGCGUGCGGGAUGACGGCCUUCGGGUUGUAAACCGCCUUCGCCUGUGACGAAGCGUGAGUGACGGUAAUGGGUAAAGAAGCACCGGCUAACUACGUG
rnacentral:rRNA from 1 species